rnacentral:lncRNA from 1 species
GAAGAGGCCGGCAGGCAGCCAGGAUGGGACACAGCUCACAGGACCCCCACCUCUGCUGGACCACCAGGCUCCUGGGAGUCAUUAGCCUGCUCUGUGCCUGCAGCACUUUAGCCAAGAGUUCUGGAGCUCAUGGAUCUGGGAUUAAAGGUUUUAGAACCCACACUUAUCUGAAGGCGAUCCGGGGAAGUUCGGUCUUGUUGCAAGUGAUCCAGGAGCCAGAGGAUCCCAAGAUAGAGGAGAUCUCCUGGGGCGUCAUCACCUCUGAGUCAAACUCCACAUUCGUGCUGAGACUCCAGAAUGGGAAGGAAGAUCCACUGUGGUUCAGUCUUCAGGACAAGUACAAGCAGAGGGUCCAGGUGCCCAGUAUGUCAUCCCUGAGGAUUAACAAUUUGACCUCACAGGACAGUGGGCAGUACUGGGCCCAGAUCAUGUUUCAGACGGGAAGAGAAAUUAAACCAGUUUUCCACCUCACUGUGUACGAUCCUGUGCCCCUUGCCCAGAUCUGGACCACGUCAGCGUCCAUCACGCCCAGCUGGUGCAAUGUCACUCUGGAGUGUGGGGCCCGAGAGGCUGUAGAGGUCCUGAAUGUAACCUGGGAGGUCCAGGGUCCCCCCAGUGAGCUGGAGCAGAGAGGGGCCCCAGGACCCCCCAACCCUUGGACCCUGGCCUUGAGCCUGCCACCGAGCCAGCCCAAUGUCAGCUUCACCUGUGUCCUCAGCAACCCAGUGGACCAGAAAAAUGCCA